rnacentral:sRNA from 1 species
GUUUGCACUUGUCGGGGAAGGGUGAGAACCUUCGAUUAAGGUUCGACUCGAGCGAAAGCGAGAGAACGUUGCCAACGGCAACGGCCCGUAGGUUGAGGAGCGAA